GGAUACAGGUUCAAGAGUGGAGCUACCACCAGCCACCUACACUAAAUGGAUGACAUCAAGCUUUAUGCCAAGAAAUGAGCGGGGCAUUGACUUACUUAUCCACCUAACUAGGAUAUACAGCAAGGACAUCAGAAUGUCAUGAGGACUAGAGAAGUGCAGGCAGAUGAUAGCAAAAAGAGGGAAGAUGAUCAGGAGAGAAGGAUUUGAAGUUCCAGAAGGCCAAAUAGAAGAUGUAGAGAACAGCUACAAGUACCUGUGGGUACCACAAACGAAUAGCAACCAUGAG